ensembl:lncRNA
CCUGGAUGUAGUAUCUCAUGUUGGAGGAAAAUCACACAGACUGGAAACCUAGUAAGGUCACAUUUGCAUAACAAUGAGGGAUAGGAAGAAGAACUCUCACCUACUUCUUACCUAAAGACCAUAUGAUAUCAAGAUCACAGACACUGGAGAUCAUCUGAGGUGCCACAUUAUCUUUAAAAGUUUGGCUACAAACUUCCAACAGGCUUUGUCAAGAUAUCUUGGGUAGAGGGAAGCAGGUGUUCUGCUGCAGGUGGGCAUCUCCCCUACAAAGGAUCAUCCCAGGACCCAGAGCCUUCUCCUUUUUAGUUUUCAAAGUCCAGAAUCUUUUGGAGGAAUAAAAGACUUAAUUCUCCAGCUGCUGGAAGUGCUGCCAGGAAAGAGCCCUCAGCUAUCAACCCUCCUUGAUGAUUGCUUUGGCUCAAGACAGAUGGUUCUCCCAAGACCAGGCUUCUUUCCAGCAGAGCCCACAUUUAAUGCUUAAUGAACUUGAAUGUAUUAAAGUGCAGUCUUCUCUCCAACUUGGGGAACUCUGAAAAGGCUAUCCCAUUUCCAAAGCUACCUAUGGGUCAGAGGAGGCUAUCAUAUUCCUGCACUGAAGCCCAGUUUCACCCUGGGGAGAUUUAAAGUAUACAGAAGGAUGUGUGUACGUUAUAUGCAAAUACCGCUCUGUUUUAUGUAAUAAAUUUUAGCAUCUGCAUAUUUUGGUACCUGUAGGGGUCCUGAAACCAAUUUCACACAGAUCCCAAGGAGCCACUGUACUCUCCAAUAAAGGUCCAACAAACUAACCUCCAACUUAGCAGCUAUUCCCUGAGGGACUCAAAAUGCAACAAUGAUUGGCCUGAAUUAGUUAAGCAUAUGCCCCAGUUUGGAUAAUGAGAUAUAAAGGACAAUAUGCUGGAAAAUAUAUUUUCUUCUUAGAUACAACUAUAGAAUCAGGAGAAGAGAAGCCUCCUUUUCCUCCUUCCAUCCUGCUUAAAUGACUGGCAGCUCUGCUUUGCUCAUGAGGAUCAACCAAAAGAGUCAUGGAUGUUCAUAUACCCCAUAUUAUUUAUGAACCACUCAAAAUUUCCUUCUUCUGAUACCUUGUUAUAUGGAAAGAUUAACUUUAUUUCUUUAUUUUUUUAUUGUUAUUUCCCCAAUACAACUUUUUUUCAACUGUACAGCAUGGUGACCCAGUUGCAAACUAUUGCUUUUGGAAUGGAUUAGCAAUGAGAUCCUGCUGUGUAGCAUUGAGAAUUGUAUCUGGUCACUUAUGAUGGAGCAUGAUAUGGAAAAAUUAAUUUUAUAAAGCCACUAACAUUAGGUUCUUUUCUACUUGUAGCCAAAAUCACACUACAUUACACUGUGAUGAGAAUGUCUUUGUAUACUGACACUGGAAGUCUAGUGUGGUAACUGAUUCCCAUUUGUGUUUGAAUGUAGUUCUUAAUGAACCACUUCAAUAAGAUCCUCAGAGAUCUUCCUCAAUCUUAGUAUUUGGUGAUUUUUAUCUUAGUGUAUUACUAUUUUUUAAAAAAAUAUUGGUAAUAGUUUCUUUCUUCCAUAUUUGUUGUCUGUGACUUUAGGUCUUCUAUGAUGGUUAAAUUUUUGUGUCAAUUGGCUCAAUCACAAGAUGCCCAGAUAUAUCUACUUAUUUAAAUAUUAUGUAUUUCCAGAAGAGAAGAGCAUAUGAAUUGGUGGACUGAGCAAAGCAGUUCACCUACCCAAGUGUGAAUGGAAAGGGCUCAUCUUCCUUGAAUAUAACAAAGAGCUUGAAUAUAAUAAAAGGGCUUGAAUAUAACAAAAGGCAGAGGAAAGCUGAAUUUGUUCCCUGCCUAACUAUUAAGCUAGAAUCUUGAUCUUAACCUGCUAUUGGCAUUCCUGGUUUUCCAGACUUCGGACCUGGACUGGAAUCCACACUGUUGAUUCUUCAGUUGUCAGGCCUUCUAAUCACACCACUGACUUUCCUGGGUCUCCAGACUGCAGGACAUCUCAGCUUACACUAUCAUGUGAGCCAAUUCCUUACAAUGAAUAACAUUCUGUAGAGAAAGGCGUGUUAUAUAUAAUAUAUAUUAUAUUUUAAUCAUAUAAUCAUAUAUAAAUUAAUCAAGCAUUCAAUAUAAAUCUAUAGAUAUACAGAUAUAUAGCUACAUAUGCCAUAUUUAGAUCUCUCUCUAUAUAUAUGUGUGUAUAUAUGUAUUUCUUCUAUACAGAUAUCUAUCACUUCAUAUAUAUAAAUAUAUUUAUAUAUAUGAUUGAUUCUGUUUUUCUGGAUAACUGUGACAAUCUUUUUUAAACCAUUAAUUAUAUAUUUUUAUAUUCU